GGAGGGGUGGCAGAGUGGUUGAAUGCGGCGGUCUCGAAAACCGUUGUGCGGGUAUCCCCCGUACCGAGGGUUCGAAUCCCUCCCCCUCCGCCA
rnacentral:tRNA from 1 species